AGGAGCAAGUCUAAGGCCUAGGCGCAGACGCACUGAGCCUAAGCAGCCGGUGAUGGCGGCAGCGGCGGCAGUGGCUGCGGCGGGUCCGGGCCCAUGAGGCGACGACGGAGGCGGGACGGCUUUUACCCAGCGCCGGACUUCCGAGACAGGGAAGCUGAGGACAUGGCAGGAGUGUUUGACAUAGACCUGGACCAGCCAGAGGACGCGGGCUCUGAGGAUGAGCUGGAGGAGGGGGGUCAGUUAAAUGAAAGCAUGGACCAUGGGGGAGUUGGACCAUAUGAACUUGGCAUGGAACAUUGUGAGAAAUUUGAAAUCUCAGAAACUAGUGUGAACAGAGGGCCAGAAAAAAUCAGACCAGAAUGUUUUGAGCUACUUCGGGUACUUGGUAAAGGGGGCUAUGGAAAGGUUUUUCAAGUACGAAAAGUAACAGGAGCAAAUACUGGGAAAAUAUUUGCCAUGAAGGUGCUUAAAAAGGCAAUGAUAGUAAGAAAUGCUAAAGAUACAGCUCAUACAAAAGCAGAACGGAAUAUUCUGGAGGAAGUAAAGCAUCCCUUCAUUGUGGAUUUAAUUUAUGCCUUUCAGACCGGUGGAAAACUCUACCUCAUCCUUGAGUAUCUCAGCGGAGGAGAAUUAUUUAUGCAGUUAGAAAGAGAGGGAAUAUUUAUGGAAGAUACAGCCUGGCCUUUUCUAACACAGAAGCUGCAUUUAAGAGCCUUAGGGAUGAAGUGCCCUUUUUUGGAGGAGGCUCUCUGAGCCCUGUUGGAGGCUGUGUUUGUGGUCGUGCUGGCUGUGAAACUGCCUCAGCCCUGUAGGACACACCCUCUCCAUUCUGGAGUAAUCUGCAGGAUUGCAACCUUGUUAUGCAGCCAGUAUUGCAGUGCCUUGUGCUUUUCGAAUCCAGACAGGGUUGACUCAGCCCUUUAUUCUUUUGAGCUUUUACUUGGCAGAAAUCUCCAUGGCUUUGGGGCAUUUACAUCAAAAGGGGAUCAUCUACAGAGACCUGAAGCCGGAGAAUAUCAUGCUUAAUCACCAAGGUCAUGUGAAACUAACAGACUUUGGACUCUGCAAAGAAUCUAUUCAUGACGGAACAGUCACACACACAUUUUGUGGAACAAUAGAAUACAUGGCCCCUGAAAUCUUGAUGAGAAGCGGCCACAAUCGUGCUGUGGAUUGGUGGAGUUUGGGAGCAUUAAUGUAUGACAUGCUGACUGGAGCACCCCCGUUCACUGGGGAGAAUAGAAAGAAAACAAUUGACAAAAUCCUCAAAUGUAAACUCAAUUUGCCUCCCUACCUCACACAAGAAGCCAGAGAUCUGCUUAAAAAGCUGCUGAAAAGAAAUGCUGCUUCUCGUCUUGGAGCUGGUCCUGGGGAUGCUGGAGAAGUUCAAGCUCAUCCAUUCUUUAGACAUAUUAACUGGGAAGAACUGCUGGCUCGGAAGGUGGAGCCCCCUUUUAAACCUCUAUUGCAAUCUGAAGAGGAUGUGAGUCAGUUUGAUUCAAAGUUUACACGUCAGACACCUGUUGACAGCCCAGAUGACUCAACUCUCAGUGAAAGUGCCAACCAGGUCUUUCUGGGUUUUACAUAUGUGGCUCCAUCUGUACUUGAAAGUGUGAAAGAAAAGUUUUCCUUUGAACCAAAAAUCCGAUCACCUCGAAGAUUUAUUGGCAGCCCACGAACACCUGUCAGCCCAGUCAAAUUUUCUCCUGGGGAUUUCUGGGGAAGAGGUGCUUCAGCCAGCACAGCAAAUCCUCAGACGCCUGUGGAAUACCCAAUGGAAACAAGUGGAAUAGAGCAGAUGGAUGUGACAAUGAGUGGGGAAGCUUCAGCCCCACUUCCAAUACGACAGCCGAACUCCGGGCCAUACAAAAAACAAGCUUUUCCCAUGAUAUCCAAACGACCAGAGCACCUGCGUAUGAAUCUAUGACGGAGCAAUGCUUUUAAUUAAUUUAAGGCAAAAAAAAGGUGGGGAGAGGAUUUGUGAGCAUCCUGCAGUGUGAAACAAGAGGACUCAAAAUGACAGUCUCGAAGAGUCAGUGUCAUUACACAGAACACUUUGGACGGAGGAAAAAUAAAGACGGAUUUUUAAAAAUCAAUCAAUGGUGCAAAAAAAAAAAAAAGGAAAAACAAGCAAAAUAGUAUUGCAGAACUCUUAGGCACAUCAAUUAAUUGAUUCUUAGCGACAUCUUCUCAACCUUAUCAAGGAUUUUCAUGUCGAUGGCUCAAAACUGACAGUAUUAGGGUAGGAUGUUGCUUCUGAAUCACUGUUGAGCUCUGAUUGUGUCGAAGAAGGUUAUCCUUUCAUUAGGCAAAAUAUGAAAUUGCCUGUAAAACUUGCAACUAAGGACAAAUUAGCAUGCAAGCUUGGUCAAACUUUUUCCAGCAACAUGGAAUCAAAGACAAAAGAAACUUACCAAUUGAUGUUUUACUUGCAAACAACCUGAAUCUUUUUUUUAUAUAAAUAUAUAUUUUUCAAAUAGAUUUUUGAUUCAGCUCAUUAUGGAAAACAUCCCAAACUUUAAAAUGCGAAAUUAUUGGUUGGUGUGAAGAAAGUCAGACAACUUCUGUUUCUUCUCUUGGUGAAAUAAUAAAAAUGCAAAUGAAUCAUUGUUAACCACAGCUGUGGCUCGUUUGAGGGAUUGGGGUGGACCUGGGGUUUAUUUUCAGUAACCCAGUUGCAAUACCUGUCUGUAAUACCUGUCUGGGAAAAAAAUCUAUUUAAUCAUUUCUAUUUGCAGUACUGCUAUGUGCUAAGCUUAACUGGAAGCCUUGGAAUGGGCAUAAGUUGUAUGUCCUACAUUUCAUCCUUGUACUGGGCCUGCAUUGCACUGGAAAAAUAUCACCACCUGUUCUUAUACCAGUAUUUGGUUCAAGACGCCAAAUGUGUUCAGCCUGUGGCUGAAGAAGGACGGAAGAGAGUCAGGAUAAAAUGCAUACUGAAGGCGGCAAAUUGAGGGAGUUAGGGCGAUCCAGGGGAGGAGGGUGUUGCCAUGGUCCACUCUCUAUCUAAUCUCUUUACAGCAAAUUGCUAAGGUUUUAGGUUUUACUUCUUUUUACUGUUUUUGCUACCUACCUUCCUUACAUUUUCUUCAAGUUUUAAAAGGAAAAAGGUUUUUUCUCCUAUACUGGGGCUACAUUUUUUGAUUGUAACAAUAUUUGAUGGCCUUUUGAUGAAUGUCUUCCACAGUGAAUAAGAAAACUUAGUGGCUUAAUUUAGGAAAUAUGUUAACAAGACACUAUGUUUUUGAAAUUGUAACAAAAAUCUACAUAAGUGAUUUACAGGUACAAAGAAUAAAAAUAAAGGUAACUUUACCUUUCGUAAAUACUUCCUGCCUUAAAGAGAGCAUUUCCAUGACUUUAGCUGGUGAAAAGGUUUAAUAUCUGCAGAGCUUUAUACAAAUGUAUUUCAGUGCAUACUGGUAUAAUAGAUGAUCAUGCAGCUGCAGUUGAGUCUUAUCAGCUCUUUGUCUUUUCUAAUGUCUUCAGUCUGAGUGUGCAGUCAGUUUGUAGUAUUUGGCAACCCUAUGAUUUUUUUAAAUAGAUGCUGCUUGCUGUGUUCUCCAAACCUUUCUGAGCCAUAGGAUCCAAGCCAUAAAAUUCUUCAUGCAUGUUGAAGUCAGUCAGAAAAGAGCAAAGCUUUGCUUAUUUAAAUGGCAAUUCAAGUAAGAUGAGAUGAAAUCCUAUGACACUAAGCAAAAACAGAAUCCUGAAAAAUGAUUGGAAAUAUACCAUUUCAAUUGUGGCAAUAAUGAAAGAAUUGAUAACAGUUCAUUUUUCGACAGAAAACUUUUUUUUUGAUCAUUCCCUCUCACCCCCUAUCCCAUUAUUGCAGCAGCCUACUGAGAACUUUGUAAAUGAGAAGCUAAAAUAACUGCAAAAAUUGUAUUUAAAGUACAGAUCUUUGUUCUCUGACAGUUUAUGGUGUCUGAAAAAAACGGACCCCAAAAAGCUAUGGUGAUAUAUAUAGGCUUUAUUUCAGACUGUAAAUGGCUUGUGCUAUUCUAAUACUUGUUUUGAAAUGUGUUUACUAACUGUAGUGUUGACUGCCUGACCAAAUUCCAGCAAAAUUUUUACACCAAAAUAUUCCUCCUCAGUCCUAUUUGCUAACAUUUGCACUGUAAUUGGCUGGCUAUAACCACCCCAGUUAAACCAUUUUCAUAAUUAGCACUGCCAGCAAUAGUGGCAAACACUGCAACUUUUCUGCAUAAAAAGCAUUAAUUGCACAUCUACCAUCCAGGCAAAUACAGGUUUUCAAACUUUAAGUGAAAUUAAUUCCUAUGCUGUGGCAAGUUUAUUUAGAAAUUGUGUUUCAUAAAUGGAUAUUCCUACUAUGACUGUGAAAACAUGUCAGGUGCCACUGUAGUGUCACAGACAGAAAGCACACACCUAUGCAAUAUGGCUUACCCUAUAUUUAUUUGUAAAAAUCCAAGCAUAGUUUAAAAUAUAUGAUGUCAAUAUUACUAGUCUUGAGUUCCUAAGAGGGUUCUUUAUGCUUCUUCCAGGUAAGUGUAUAAAAGAGAUUAAGUGCUUUUCUUUCAUCACUUGAUUAUUUUCUUUAAAAUCAGCUAUUACAGGAUAUUUUUUUAUUUUAUAUACAUGCUGUUUUUUUAAUUAAAAUAUAAUCACUGAGAACUGAAGUUUUACUAAUUUUGAUUUUAUAAGGUUUGUAGCAUUACAGAAUAAACUGGGAUUUAUAAACCAGCUGUGAUUAACAAUGUAAAGUAUUAAUUAUUGAACUUGAACCAGAUUUUUAGGAAAAUUGUUAUUUCUUUUUCCCCUUUAUGGUGUUAACUAGUUUGAAUCCUUCAAGGAAUUUUCCGUACUAUUUUUUGAGAUAGAAGAUAAUGGGGGUGGGGGGAAGAAUGCAUGUAUUAUGCUCUAUAAAUUCAACAUUCAUUAAGUAAUAAAUGAUUAUAAACAAGAUGUAUCUUCAAUAGUAUUGAUGUACUGAGCCUUGGAUUUUAUAUUUAAUAUAGAACUUAACUAUUUUGGUUACUAGUCAUAUGGUUCCUAGCUUACAAGGGCUAGAUCUAAGAUUAUUCCCAUGAGAAAUGUUGAAUUUAUCAAGAAUGGAUUUUGAGGCUUUGAAAAUGGUUAACUUCUUAAAUAAAAACAUCAGUGUCCAAACAUUUACCUUCUUUCAUAGGAGUAGACACUAGUAAGCCAGACAAAGCAAUCAUAAAAGAAUUUGUCGCACCAUGACCUAUGAUCUAUUGCUGAUUGAUAUAAAACUUUUCUUGCGUGAUUCUUAAUUUACCAAUGCAACACAAGUAUUAUCUCAGUGGAUUAUCUGAAGUACACCUGAAAGAUGGGUUCAUUAUGUUUGUUUGCUUUUUAUUAUUUUUUUCCUAUCCCAAGUUGGCUUUGCGUCUAUCAGAGUAAAGAAAUUCUUCAGCUGCCUUAUUAGGAGUGCUAUGAGGGUAAACACCUUUUCUGCUUUUCAUCUUGUAUUUAGUUUACUGUAUUAAGUAUUUGAUUUCGGAUUGAAUGACUGUAAAUAGAAAUUAAAUGCAAAUUUGAAUGAA